rnacentral:misc_RNA from 1 species
GGCCGCCCGUCGGGGUGUCGGACAGUAGUCCGUCGGCCGUGGCUGGAGUCGGCCCGAGCCAGUUCUGCCGCCUACCUCCGGACUCGCUGUGUCGUGCUGAGCGUCCUAUCGUCAGUUCGACAGCGCCAGAGCGGCAAUCCGUCAGCCGAGAGUCCCGGUUUGUCUAUUUGUUUACCUACUGUUUAGCCAUCUCCCGUCUGAACUGAACGGAGGCGCUGCUCGGUCUUACCGGGCGCAUCUCUGCAGUCUGCAUCGUGCUGCUAGUUUCUCGGCGUUCAUCUACUGCAGCCAUGGACGGUCCUCAAAAGAAGUUGAUGGCGGAACCGACGGCGUCGGACACCAGCUCCGACACCUUGGGCUCCGAGAGACACUCCAUUUACAAACAGAUCCUGGGCAGCGUGGUGGUCGCCACGGUAACCCUGUCGUACAGCUGUCUGCUCGGGUUCGGCUCCAUCCUGCUGGGACAACUGGAGGAGGAUGACGCCACCGUGGUGGUCUCCGACCGACAGCGACCCUGGCUCAUGGGCGGAGCCUACGUGGGCUCUGUACUGGGCUGCAUUCUGGCCACGUUUCUGGCCAAGACGUUCGGCCCUAGCCGGAUAAUGUUCUGGCACACGCUGCCCAACGCUAUUGGAUGGGCUCUGCAGGCGCUGGCCACCGGCUUCUGGCCGCUGAUGGCUGGCCGGUUCGUGUGCGGCCUGGCGUGCGGCGUGUGCGUCAGCAGCGCUCAGAUCUACAUCAGUGAGAUCAGCAGCCCGCGGGUGCGCGGCGUGCUGCUGAUUCUGCCCGAGACGUUCGCCACGGCCGGCCUGCUGAUGUGCUACACCCUCGGCCUGCUGCUGCACUGGAAGAUGGUGGCUGUGGUGUGCGGCCUGGUGCCCAACCUGGUGAUAUUCGCCGGCUUCCUGCGACUGCCCGAGUCGCCCACCUGGCUGGUGUCCAAACAUCGCCUGUCGGCGGCCGCCGAGUCGCUGCUCUUCUUCCACGGCCGGCGGUACGCGGCUGACAGCCAGGUACAGCUGAUCCUGGCCGGACUCGAGCAGACCAAAAUGUCCGUCUGCGAGACGCUGCGACUGAUGCGGCACAGUGUCUACCUGCAGCCGGUGCUCAUCAUUGCCGUCCAGAUGACCAUCCUCAACUUCUCCGGCAUCAACGCCAUGUUCGGCUACGCCGUGGUCAUCUUCCGUCUGGCGCGCACGGGCAUCAACGAGUACCACUGCGCCAUGGUGCUGGCGGCGGUGCGGCUUCUCUGCAACAUCGGCAGCACGACACUCAUCGACCGUCUCGGCAGACGCGUGCUGCUCUCCCUCUCCGGCGCGUUCUGCACCGUAUCACUGGCCGUCAUCGGCGCCUACUUCUACCUGCGGGAGCAGGACGUCCAGCAGGUUCAGGGACUGCACUGGCUGCCGCUGGCCGGCAUGAUCUGCACCAUCUGCAGCUACUCGCUCGGCAUCGGACCCAUCAGCUGGGUCAUUUUCGGCGAGAUGCUGCCGUCGUCCGUGCGGGAACUCUACGGCAGCAUCAUCAUCAUCUUCUGGUCGCUGACGCUGUUCACGGUGCUGCAGGUGUUCCCAGAGCUGACGGCACUGCUCGGGAACAGCGGCACCUUCUGGCUGUUUGCCGGCGUGUGCGCCGUACAGGUGCUGUUUGCGUUCUGUGUGGUACCCGAGACGCGGCUCCGUACACUGGAGGAUAUUCAUCAGGAGCACUUUGUCGGCAAAAGCAAGGGCGAGGCGGAAACAGAGGGCGGGGAAAUCUGAGUGGUUUCAUGGGUGGAUGGGAAUGGUGCGAAGGAAUGGGAUGGGGUGUGAAAGCGAAAGAGUGGAUGAAGGUUGAUAGGGAGAGAAAGAGAGGGGGAGAGGGAGAGCACACAUACAACUCCUGUCUGCCGUAUCCUAACGGUAGGAAUGCCAUGCGUGGCACUGAUGCGAUCGUCCGGAGAAUGAUUCAGCUCUGCGCUGGCUGCGUCUGGGGAGAGCUGGAGAGUAGCAACUAACUCCCAGUUCAAUACUGUGAUGUGAUGAUGUGGGACGAACAUGUGACAUGCAUUCGUUAUCUAUAGAUGCUAGUUGAGUCAUGUUUGGUAGUUUUUCUUUAACGAUAUUCUCCUGUACUGAGUUUGAGUGCGUGCCGCGAUAAAAAAUCUGUCUUUGUAGGGAUGUUGUAUAAUUACGCUUUUUCACUGAAGUGUUGACUGUGAGUCACUAAAGUGAAAAAGUCGUGCGUGUGCCAUAACUGGUAAAGGAGGUCGGUCUCAGAUCUUGUGUGUUGUGUCAAAUGUGGAGCUCGCAUUGAUGGGACAGUAGAUUCCGACAUGCUUUUUAUCUGCUGUAUGAUCAUAGACAAGGGUGUCAUUUUAUAUCUCGUGGGCUAGCUAUCGGCAUCCUUAGAGUAAGCUAUGGUUUCCCUAACUCUCGACAGAAAACAAAAUCUUGUUAAACAUCAUCGUACUUCGAGGUGUGUGACUACGGAUGUGCGAUCAUUGCACAGUGUGCGGUGUGCAUGCACGAACUUUCAGUGGCGAAGGACGACCAUAUCGAUGGCGAUGCAUCGAUGGGUUUGCGAUAUGUGUUAUCCAGUGUCGCUGUCGCUUGUGAGCUGUCAUGUCAUGAACAUAUCAUGCCCGAAAAGAUACGCUCUCGAACUCUGGGCAGUGACGGUGCCUUGCGUGCGCUGGGGUCGCUGGGGAGUGCUGGCAAUAUCAAUUAGAUAUUCACAAAUCUGAUAUUGCUGUGAUUGUCAUGGACAACCCACCGAUGUGUAUGAAAUUACGAAUGAUUUAGCAUUGAAACGUGGUAGUGGAAGCUAAAUUCGGUAGCCUGCAAAGUUAAACGCAUAUUUAUUUUCCAUAUCUUGUGACAAUGCAGUAAUCAGUGAGAUUAUUAUCUUUGUCACUGAAAUGUUGUAAAUAAAUGAACGAGUGAAAACA